rnacentral:rRNA from 1 species
CAGGCCUAACACAUGCAAGUCGAGCGCGCCUUCGGGUGAGCGGCGGACGGGUUAGUAACGCGUGGGAACGUGCCCUUUUCUACGGAAUAGCCUCUGGAAACGGAGAGUAAUACCGUAUACGCCCUUUGGGGGAAAGAUUUAUCGGAGAAGGAUCGGCCCGCGUUAGAUUAGGUAGUUGGUGGGGUAAUGGCCUACCAAGCCUACGAUCUAUAGCUGGUUUUAGAGGAUGAUCAGCAACACUGGGACUGAGACACGGCCCAGACUCCUACGGGAGGCAGCAGUGGGGAAUCUUAGACAAUGGGGGCAACCCUGAUCUAGCCAUGCCGCGUGAGUGAUGAAGGCCUUAGGGUCGUAAAGCCCUUUCGCCUGUGAUGAUAAUGACAGUAGCAGGUAAAGAAACCCCGGCUAACUCCGUGCCAGCAGCCGCGGUAAUACGGAGGGGGUUAGCGUUGUUCGGAAUUACUGGGCGUAAAGCGCGCGUAGGCGGAUUAGAAAGUUGGGGGUGAAAUCCCGGGGCUCAACCUCGGAACUGCCUCCAAAACCGCUAGUCUAGAGUUCGAGAGAGGUGAGUGGAAUUCCGAGUGUAGAGGUGAAAUUCGCAGAUAUUCGGAGGAACACCAGUGGCGAAGGCAGCUCACUGGCUCGAUAC